rnacentral:snRNA from 1 species
AUACUUAUCUGGCAGGGGCGAUACCAUGAUUAUGAAGAUGGUUUUCCCAGGGUGAGGCUUAUCCAUUGCAUUGCAGAUGUGCUGACCCCUGUGAUUUCCCCAAAUGUGGGAAACUCUACUGCAUGAUUCGUGGUAGUAGGGGACUAUGUUCACCCCCUC